GUAGGUGGCAAGCGUUGUCCGGAAUUAUUGGGCGUAAAGCGCGCGCAGGUGGUUCUUUAAGUCUGAUGUGAAAGCCCCCCGGCUCAGCCGGGGAGGGUCAUUGGAAACUGGGGAACUUGAGUGCAGGAGAGGAAAGUGGAAUUCCACGUGUAGCGGUGAAAUGCGUAGAUAUGUGGAGGAACACCAGUGGCGAAGGCGACUUUCUGGCCUGUAACUGACACUGAGGCGCGAAAGCGUGGGGAGCAAACAGGGAUUAGAUACCCUGGUAGUCCACGCCGUAAACGAUGAGUGCUAAGUGUUGGGGGGGUUUCCCGCCCCUCAGUGCUGCAGCUAACGCAUUAAGCACUCCGCCUGGGGAGUACGGUCGCAAGACUG
rnacentral:rRNA from 1 species